rnacentral:rRNA from 1 species
ACGAGGGGUGCUAGCGUUGUUCGGAAUCACUGGGCGUAAAGGGUACGCAGGCGGUACAGCAAGUCGAUUGUGAAAGCCCCAGGCUCAACCUGGGAACUGCGGUCGAAACUGCUGAACUAGAGUAUGUUCGGGGAUAGUGGAAUUCCUAGUGUAGGGGUGAAAUCCGUAGAUAUUAGGAGGAAUACCGGUGGCGAAAGCGACUAUCUAGACCAUUACUGACGCUGAGGUACGAAAGCGUGGGGAGCAAACAGG